GCCGCGUGCGCCAAGCUCUACCGCACCGCCGCCAAGCGCGACGCGCACCGCGCGCACCACCACCCCGGUGCAAACCUAAUACGAGCGCAAACUAUCGAGAGCGGUCUGAGGGCGUGCGAGCCGGCCGCGUGCGAGGCGUGCCCGCGCCAGUACGCCACCCGCGCGAAAUUGCUACAACACGUCCGCCAGCACCACCCGGACCUGGCUCCACCGUUAAAAAAUACUUCUAAAGUCAAACAUCAGGAGGUGCAAAAGGAAGUUCCUUCGAAAUCUAAGUCUCGACCAGGCAAACGUGGACACUUAUGAUUAAAAAUAUGAUUAUUAAAAUGGUCACCAAAGAGAACUGAUUUUAAUUUAUACUAACUCAAGUGUAAACAGAACAAUAUUUUAAGAACGAAGAACCUUGCAUGCUCGUUCAAUAUGGUGAAAAUAGAUUCAAAAUGAAAGAAAAAUAUCCCGAUAUCGCAAAAAGCUGCCUUCCAGUAAAUGUUAGUACAAUUUUUUCCCAACAUUUUAAUAAUCUGUUAGUUAUUUAGUGCGGCAGCACUAACUGACAUGAAAUUCAUUGUUUUCAUAAUUGAUAAACAAGCCUCGUAUUAAUUAAAUCAAUAUCGUAAAACUUAACACUCCAAGUAUCUAUUACUUUCAUACA